GUCGUAACAAGGUCUCCGUUGGUGAACCAGCGGAGGGAUCAUUACCGAGUUUACAACUCCCAAACCCCUGUGAACAUACCUUAUGUUGCCUCGGCGGAUCAGCCCGCGCCCCGUAAAAAGGGACGGCCCGCCGCAGGAACCUUAAACUCUGUUUUUAGUGGAACUUCUGAGUAUAAAAAACAAAUAAAUCAAAACUUUCAACAACGGAUCUCUUGGUUCUGGCAUCGAUGAAGAACGCAGCAAAAUGCGAUAAGUAAUGUGAAUUGCAGAAUUCAGUGAAUCAUCGAAUCUUUGAACGCACAUUGCGCCCGCCAGUAUUCUGGCGGGCAUGCCUGUUCGAGCGUCAUUUCAACCCUCAAGCCCAGCUUGGUGUUGGGAGCUGCAGUCCUGCUGCACUCCCCAAAUACAUUGGCGGUCACGUCGAGCUUCCAUAGCGUAGUAAUUUACAUAUCGUUACUGGUAAUCGUCGCGGCCACGCCGUUAAACCCCAACUUCUGAAUGUUGACCUCGGAUCAGGUAGGAAUACCCGCUGAACUUAAGCAUAUCA
rnacentral:rRNA from 1 species